GCCCCCGUAGCUCAGGGGAUAGAGCGACGGUUUCCUAAACCGCAGGUCGCAGGUUCGAAUCCUGCCGGGGGUA
rnacentral:tRNA from 2 species